rnacentral:rRNA from 1 species
GGGGGGAACCGUCGACAGGCAGGCAACGAGCGAGACCCCUGCGUCUAGUUGCUACCAUUACUCUCUGGAGCAGUGGAGCGAAUUAGACGGACCGCCACAGUUAAUGUGGAGGAAGGAAGGGGCCACGGCAGGUCAGUAUGCCCCGAAACCCUAGGGCUACACGCGGGCUGCAAUGGUAUUGACAAUGUGUUCCGAAUCCGAAAGGAGGAGGCAAUCAUCAAACAAUAUCUCAGUUAUGACUGAGGGCUGUAACUCGCCCUCACGAAUAUGGAAUCCCUAGUAACCGCGCGUCACUACCGCGCGGUGAAUACGUCCCUGCUCCUUGCACGAAUUCGCCG